GACGAACGCUGGCGGCGUGCUUAACACAUGCAAGUCGAACGGAAAGGCCCAACUUGUUGGGUGCUCGAGUGGCGAACGGGUGAGUAACACGUGGGUGAUCUGCCCUGCACUUUGGGAUAAGCCUGGGAAACUGGGUCUAAUACCGGAUAGGACCGCAUGCUGCAUGGUGUGUGGUGGAAAGUUCCUUUGGAGCGGUGUGGGAUGGGCCCGCGGCCUAUCAGCUUGUUGGUGGGGUGAUGGCCUACCAAGGCUGCGACGGGUAGCCGGCCUGAGAGGG
rnacentral:rRNA from 1 species